GGAUGAAGAACGUAGCGAAAUGCGAUAAGUAAUGUGAAUUGCAGAAUUCAGUGAAUCAUCGAGUCUUUGAACGCACAUUGCGCCCCCUGGUAUUCCGGGGGGCAUGCCUGUCCGAGCGUCAUUGCUGCCCUCAAGCACGGCUUGUGUGUUGGGCCGUCGUCCCCCUCCUAGGGGACGGGCCCGAAAGGCAGCGGCGGCACCGCGUCCGGUCCUCGAGCGUAUGGGGCUUCGUCACCCGCUCCGUAGGCCCGGCCGGCGCUUGCCGACGACCAUCAAUCUCUUUCUCCAGGUUGACCUCGGAUCAGGUAGGGAUACCCGCUGAACUUAAGCAUAUCAAUAAGCGGAGGA
rnacentral:misc_RNA from 1 species